GGGGCCUUAGCUCAGUUGGUAGAGCGCAACGCUGGCAGCGUUGAGGUCAUCGGUUCGAACCCGAUAGGCUCCACCA
rnacentral:tRNA from 1 species